rnacentral:rRNA from 1 species
GAAUCUUCCACAAUGGACGAAAGUCAGAUGGAGCAAUGCCGCGUGAGUGAAGAAGGUUUUCGGAUCGUAAAACUCUGUUGUGAGGGAAGAACAAGUAUGAGAGUAACUGCUCGUACAUUGACGGUACCUCAGUAGAAACCCACGGCUAAAUAAGUGCCGACAGCCGCGGUAAUACGUAGGUGGCAAGCGUUGUCUGGCAUUAUUGGGCGUAAAGCGCGCGCAGGCGGUCCUUUAAGUCUGAUGUGAAAUCCCACGGCCCAACCGUGGAAGGUCAUUGGAAACUGGGGGACUUGAGUACAGAAGAGGAAAGCGGAAUUCCAAGUGUAGCGGUGAAAUGCGUAGAGAUUUGGAGGAACACCAGUGGCGAAGGCGGCUUUCUGGUCUGUAACUGACGCUGAGGCGCGAAAGCGUGGGGAGCAAACA